UACGGGGGGGGCAAGCGUUGUUCGGAAUUACUGGGCGUAAAGGGUUCGUAGGUGGCUUGCUAAGUCAGACGUGAAAUCCCUCAGCUUAACUGGGGAACUGCGUCUGAGACUGGUGAGCUUGAGUGCAGGAGAGGAACGCGGAAUUCCAGGUGUAGCGGUGAAAUGCGUAGAUAUCUGGAGGAACACCGGUGGCGAAGGCGGCAUCCUGGACCAAUUCUGACGCUGAGUGAGCGAAAGCCAGGGGAGCAAACGGG
rnacentral:rRNA from 1 species